AUUGAACGCUGGCGGCAGGCCUAACACAUGCAAGUCGAGCGACCGGCGGAUGGGUGAGUUAUGCCUGGGUAUCGCCAAGUCGAGGGGGAUAACAGUUGGAAACGACUGCUAACACCGCACACGACUGGAUUGCCUAGGUGGGAUUAGCUAGUUGGUGAGGUAAUGGCUCACCAAGGCGACGAUCCCUAGCUGGUCUGAGAGGAUGAUCAGCCACACUGGAACUGAGACACGGUCCAGACUCCUACGGGAGGCAGCAGUGGGGAAUAUUGCACAAUGGGGGAAACCCUGAUGCAGCCAUGCCGCGUGUAUGAAGAAGGCCUUCGGGUUGUAAAGCACUUUCAGCGAGGAGGCGUUACUGGCAGAAGAAGCACCGGCUAACUCCGUGCCAGCAGCCGCGGUAAUAC
rnacentral:rRNA from 1 species